rnacentral:rRNA from 1 species
GGAUCAAAUCAAGCGCGAAAAGGGCGUUUGGUGAAUGCCUUGGCAGUAAGAGGCGAUGAAGGACGUGAUACUCUGCGAUAAGUUAUGGGGAGCUGAGAAUAAGCUUUGAUCCAUAAAUUUCCGAAUGGGGCAACCCACCUGAUACUUUGUUAUUAAUACUACUUAUUGUAGUGCCGUUUAAGGGUCCGCCCUUAGGCUGCGUUGCAUGCGGUGGGGCAUAAUAAUAGGGUAAACCAGGUAUUUAUGACUGAA